UACGAGAGGCCCAAACGUUAUUCGGAAUUACUGGGCGUAAAGCGCACGUAGGCGGCUCUUUAAGUCGGGGGUGAAAUCCUGGAGCUCAACUCCAGAACUGCCUUCGAUACUGUAGAGCUUGAGUUCGGGAGAGGUGAGUGGAACUGCGAGUGUAGAGGUGAAAUUCGUAGAUAUUCGCAAGAACACCAGUGGCGAAGGCGGCUCACUGGCCCGAUACUGACGCUGAGGUGCGAAAGCGUGGGGAGCAAACAGG
rnacentral:rRNA from 1 species